GAACUGUGCAAACGUUAUUCGGAAUCACUGGGCUUAAAGGGUGCGUAGGCGGGUUAGUAGGUCAGAUGUGAAAGCCCACGGCUCAACCGUGGAAUUGCGUUUGAAACCACUAGUCUUGAGGGGAUCAGAGGAGAGCGGAACUGAUGGUGGAGCGGUGAGAUGCGUUGAUAUUAUCAGGAACACCGGCGGCGAAGGCGGCUCUCUGGGAUCUUUCUGACGCUGAGGCACGAAAGCUAGGGGGGAGCGAACGGGAUUAGAUACCCCGGUAGUCCUAGCUGUAAACGAUCUGUACUAGUCCCGUGGGGACUCCCCACAUCUUCUCGGACGUAGCGAAAGUGUUAAGUACAGCGCCUGGGAGUAUGGUCGCAAGGCUG
rnacentral:rRNA from 1 species